UUAAACUAAACAGUAUGCUCGUCCACGCCCCACCUGACAACGGGGAAAGGGAAAAAUUACAACCCGUGGAUGAGACUGAAGUAUACCAGCUGAAAGGAGGGCACGUGGCAUUAGGGAAAGGGUUAGAUCCCGACCUAAGGGCCAAGCUUGUGACUGUCCUGGAGGAGCACCAGGACAGGUUCGUUUGGGAGGGUGAGGCUCCGACACAGAUUGCGCGUCAAAUCGUGACGCACAAACUU
rnacentral:lncRNA from 1 species